rnacentral:rRNA from 1 species
UUGAUCCUGGCUCAGAAUCAACGCUGGCGGCGUGCCUAACACAUGCAAGUCGAACGAGAAAGUGGAGCAAUCCAUGAGUAAAGUGGCGACCGGGUGAGUUACACGUGACCAAUCUACCCUUGAGUGGGGGAUAACCUCGGGAAACCGGGUCUAAUACCGCAUAACAUCUCUGGAUCGGAAGAGCUGGAGAUCAAAGGAGUAAUUCGCUUAAGGAGGAGGUCGCGGCUGAUUAGCUAGUUGGCGGGGUAAUGGCCCACCAAGGCAAAGAUCGGUAGCCGGCCUGAGAGGGCGCACGGCCAUACUGGAACUGAAACACGGUCCAGACUCCUACGGGAGGCAGCAGUGGGGAUUUUUGCGCAAUGGGGGAAACCCUGACGCAGCAACGCCGCGUGGAGGAUGUAGUCCCUUGGGACGUAAACUCCUUUCGACCCGGACGAUAAUGACGGUACUGGUGGAAGAAGCCCCGGCUAACUUCGUGCCAGCAGCCGCGGUAAUAAGGU